ensembl:lncRNA
AUUUGAGAGGCUCCAUGGGAGUGCGGUAUGGGAGCUCAAUUUGGCCUCUGUGUGCCUAUGGCGGCUCCGCAAAUGCUCACACCGUUCAAGCACCUCGGGCCACAUUUUCGUAUCAAGCAUAAGUUUUCUCUUAGAGUACAGGCAGGCAUGCCUGAGCAUGACUGACUAGGCUACAUCCUCCCCUGCUCCUGGGAAGAAACCUGGGGACUCAUAAGUAACAUGAAGUGUCAUUACUCUGGCCGUUUGGGUGUAACGAUUACCAUUUGAAAUAGCGUAGAAGUACGUUCUCACUGGUUUCAUAAUCACAGAGCUGCCAAAUAUCGCCUCGGCGGUAAAUUCCAAAGGGCUGGCAUAUUCUUUCACAACUGCAAAAUGGGUACGAGUUCAAAAUAAAAUAAUUCCAAAAAUUGAACGCCUUGCUUGCUUUACCUUACUUACACAUCAUAGUGAGUGUAAAUAAAGCAUAAAGAACACAAGUGUUUGCUUAUUUUUAUGAACCUCUUACCUAUUUUUACAGUUGCAAAAGAAUACGCAAUAUUCUAUAGAAGCAAAAAGACAACGUCUGGGUUUUUCCUGACCUGCAGUUUGCCAUUUAUUUCUCGUGGCCUCGUGCAGCCGGGGCUAUUGCCUUGUGUAUGUAGCUUUCAGACCAGGGCUAUUGCCUUGUGUAUGUAGGUUUCAGACCAGGGCUAUUGCCUUGUGUAUGUAGGUUUCAGACCAGGGCUAUUGCCUUGUGUAUGUAGGUUUCAGACCAGGGCUAUUGCCUUGUGUAUGUAGGUUUCAGACCAGGGCUAUUGCCUUGUGUAUGUAGGUUUCAGACCAGGGCUAUUGCCCUGUGUAUGUAGGUUUCAGACCAGGGCUAUUGCCCUCUGUAUGUAGGUUUCAGACCAGGGCUAUUGCCCUCUGUAUGUAGGUUUCAGACCAGGGCUAUUGCCAGUGCCUUGCACAAGUUUUUAUCCCCCUUUCUGUUUUUCCUAUUGUUUCAUGUAAUGGAUUUACACAAAAUAAUCUAAAUUUGUGAAGUGAAAUUUAAAAAAUGACUUGUUUCAAAGAAUAAAAACAGGAAAGUGGUACGUGCGUAUGUAUUCACCCCCAAAUGCUUUGAAGCCCCUAAAUCAGAUCUGAUUGCACACAGGUAGAUUUUAAGUGUCACAUGAUCUCAUAUCUACCCCAGUUCUGAAAGGCCCCAGAGUCUGCAACACCACUAAGCAAGCGGCACCAUAAAAACAAACGGAGCUCUCCAAACAGGUCGGGGACAAAGUUGUGGAGAAAUACAGAUCAGGGUUGGGUUAUAAAAAAAUAUCAGAAACUUAGGACAUCCCACGGAGCACCAUUAAAUCCAUUAUCUCUGCUGCAGAUGAGUUUAUUAGGAUCUCUUUUAGUCCUCCAUUUGGAGUAAUCUUCCAAGAGUCCUUCAACAUUAAAAUACAAUUUAUAAUACGAUCACAUUUUCACAUUUAACACACUAUUACAGACAUAAUACACUGACAUAUUGACCAGAUAAAUACUCUUUAACAGUCUGAAAUUAUAGAUUGAUUCCUUCAUCUACCAUAUUCCUGCACAACCUUCCAAUUUAUUGUAUUUAAAUGGUCCUAAAGUAUUGUUUGAAUUUAUAUAUUGAAAGGUUUCUGGUUUGCUCAGAUACAUUUUUCCAUUUCUUUAUUGCUCUAAAUUGAAAUUUUAUUUAGCCUAUUUCUCUUUUCUGUCUGUCCACCAUCUGUGUUAUCCAAUCUAAAUCAAAUUAAAUGUUAUUUGUCACAUACACAUGGUUAGCAGAUGUUAAUGCGAGUGUAGCGAAAUGCUUGUGCUUCUAGUUCCGACAAUGCACUAAUAACCAACAAGUAAUCUAGCUAACAAUUCCAAAACUACUACCUUAUAGACACAAGUGUAAGGGGAU